CUCUGGCGUUCAUGGGCGUGACUAACCGCGUCUGUCUGUUAAAGGUAGCAGGUUGUACAUGGCGAGCGGGUUACUCACUGAGGGUUGGUGAUUGGUGUAAUGGAAGCCGUCUCUGAACCGCAUUUAAUGACGGAGAACUACAGGAGUGGAGAGAAAACGCAGCACUGAGCAACUUGUAGACUUCACACCCGACUGUAGAAUCCCUUCUAUUGUGUGCUGGAAGAUCGCUGGACUUGAAGCAACUCCAAAUGGUGGCCUGUUUGUCCAAAGCCCAGGCUGACCCCCCACCCCUUCAACCUUUGCAGCAAUGCUGGCAGCACUAUUUCCCAAAGACAACCUCUGGAUAUGACGCUGAGCACGUGCAAUCAACUUCUUCUUUGGUCGACCAUGGCGAGGCCUGUUCUGAGUGGAACCUGUCCUGUUAAACCGCUGUAUGGUCUGGGCCACCGUGCUGCAGCUCAGUGUCAGGGUCUUGUGCCCAACGCCCGUGGUGGUGGCAGUGCAUGGCGUGUGUGUGGAAGCAGGAGUGGAUCUAAUCACAGCCUGUGAUAUUCGUCUGUGCACACAGGAUGCCUGGUUUCAGGUGAAGGUAUGAGGAACAUUAACUUGCCAUACAUUGCUUGCUUACAUGUUUACACCAAGAUCUGUAAACAAGCUAUUUUUGUCCAUAUGAUCAUAUAUAGAGAUAGUAAGUGAUGAGAAGAUAAGAAUGGGCUGAUUGUUCUGACUCGUACAAGCCCCUAUGAAAGAGUUGACCACAAGGGGGCACACUCUGAACAAUUAUUUACAUUUGCAGUUUGUUGAAGAUUAAAUAAACCACAGUGAGCAUCAGAUGUCUGGUUUUAAUACAAAGUUUUAUGAUGAACUAUUUUAUGAUAUUACCAUCUUGUCAUUUAUCAAAGAAGAGCUACAAAACCUGAAAUUUGUUCAUUUUUAGACAGAAAAAUUCUGCAGUGUAGCUCUUCUAGUGGGCUUUCCCACUGGAUGUUUAGUCCAACACAGAGCAGUUUGCAUGAAAAGUUGGUAAUGUGACCGUCGUAAUGUGGACUGGGAAGUGCACUGCGGUACCGAACCCGAGACUACCUGUAGAAGGUGGUCCGAGUUCAGUUACAAUGGAACUGUGAAUGUGAAUUGUCCCAUGAAUGUGAACGUAACUUGUAUCCGGGUCUGCACUUUUUCAGGAAGUAGAGUAACCUGUGCUGAAGGCCUGUUGUGGUGAUGACGUGUCAUGACAUGUUUUGGCCCAAAUCUGCAGUGACUUUGAAAAAGUGGAAGCUCCUCUGAAUAUUGUGGAGUUUCUUGAUUUUGCGUUAAUUUCUGUGAUCACAAAAAGGUGAAAUUCUGGACUGACACAUGGAAGAUAUGGAAUGAUAACAGAAGAAUGUGACUUUGGGUUGUACCAUGUAUUUUUUUCAUGUAGCUUUAUUAUUUAGUAUAAAUGAAGGCAAGUGUGUGUUCUGUUCUUCAUCUCUGCAGUCGUGUGUUCCCUGAUAGUCCAUGAUUGCUGGAGCUCUGGAAAUAGCAGGUGAGAUUGCAGGCCGGAGUCGCGUCACUGUCCAAGGAACCAAAAUCAACCUCCUCUGCUCCUGAGACCACAGUGUAACUGAGAGCCUAGACUACAUGGCUACUUGGAACAUGAACAUGUUGCAGACACAGGAUCUUAUGAAGUCAGCGCAGGCAGCCCUGGAAAAGAAGAGUCCGAAAGACGUGCCCUUCUCCAAGCUUUAAAGGAGAAGAUCCAGGGCUGUUGAAGCUGCGGUGGAACUGAGACAUCAUCAUCCACAUAUCUUUAGUUCUUCUUGCUAAGUCUGUUUCUUUUUAGUCUUUUUAUUUUUAGACUGGUCAAAAGACUGAUUAGUGGAAGUGAAAUGAUAGAUGAACUUUUAUUUACUUGCUUUAUUAUUUGCAGGUGCCUUGUACAGUAAGACAGGGUAACUAAUACUCAAAAGCUUUUUUUGUGUGUUAACAUGUACAGUAGAUGGACAUAUUUUUUCUGGUGCUGUGACUGCAGAAUGUAGUGCAGUUAACACAUAAAAUUUCCUUGGAUGCUCACUUUUAACUCUAGGAGGUCACAGUUUGCCCAGACAUCUUUUUUUAAAUCCGUCAAUCCAUCACCCACACGUCAUUCUGGGGGACGAAGAGGAGGAAGCUGGACAGAUAAAUUUAUUUAUUUUAUUUAUCAUUGCUGUGUUUCCUCAAUCGAGUGCAGAAAGAAGAAAAACAACACAACUGAUUUAAAAUAAAAAUAUAGAAAAUAAUCUAAUGUAAGAUUCUG